GAAACACAUUGACAUUCAUCAACAAAAGCAAAAAAAAAAAAGAUUUGCCUGUUCAUGAUGAAAAAUUUCAUGAUGUUUUGCAGAAAGAAACAUAGAGAGAGAUUUGAUCAAAAACUAUUGCAGAUUUGGAAUUUUCAAAGUAGAAAAAGAAUGUGCACGAAUCGUGCAUUCAUGUAGAAAAGAUUUGAAUCUUUUUUUUCGAUUAGAUAUCCAUAUCAUAUCAGAAUUACUUUUUUUUCCAAAAUUCAUUCUUGAUUGAAGAUUAUCACCAUCAUCAAUGGUUUCUGUAUUCACAUUUGAACACACAUUGUUGGAUCAUUGUUGUUGAAAGUAUAUUUUGAUGAUCAAAUUUCAAUGAUAAACCACACCACCAAAUGAUUUCCGUAUUAAACAAAAAAAAAAAAAAAAAAUCAGUACGACGACGAUGAUAUAUUUUCGAGAAUGACAAAUAUAUGACUUUUUUUUUGAUCGAAAACCACACAUUUUUUAUCUUUUUUCAUUCAGAAAGAUUUUUUUCCGUGGAUAUCAAUUCCUUUUUUUCGUUGUAAGUAAAAAAAAAAUUCUACAAUUUGACACCUGAAUGUUAAAAGGGUCAUGAUCAGCAACAACAAUUUUUCAAGCAUCAACGAAACGGACACCUUUGUGUGUUAUAUUUUAUAUUUCAUCCGACCAGAAAAGAAAAGAUAUCCGGAAAAUAACAGCCAAAAAAAAAACACCACACAAUGUGAUAAGAUUAAUUGCUCAAUUUCAUAUUCGUAUGAAUCUCUGAGUGUUAGAAGGGUGGUAUGAACAAUUUUGUUGUCCUAAAUGCCAAUCUUGAUAUUUGAUCUCUAUUUCUCUCUCUCUCUCUGUUUGUUCUAAAUUAAUAGACCAAAAGA